GAUGAACGCUGGCGGCGUGCCUAAUACAUGCAAGUCGAGCGAACGGACGAGAAGCUUGCUUUUCUGAUGUUAGCGGCGGACGGGUGAGUAACACGUGGAUAACCUACCUAUAAGACUGGGAUAACUUCGGGAAACCGGAGCUAAUACCGGAUAAUAUUUUGAACCGCAUGGUUCAAAAGUGAAAGACGGUCUUGCUGUCACUUAUAGAUGGAUCCGCGCUGCAUUAGCUAGUUGGUAAGGUAACGGCUUACCAAGGCAACGAUGCAUAGCCGACCUGAGAGGGUGAUCGGCCACACUGGAACUGAGACACGGUCCAGACUCCUACGGGAGGCAGCAGUAAGGAAUCUUCCGCAAUGGGCGAAAGCCUGACGGAGCAACGCCGCGUGAGUGAUGAAGGUCUUCGGAUCGUAAAACUCUGUUAUUAGGGAAGAACAUAUGUGUAAGUAACUGUGCACAUCUUGACGGUACCUAAUCAGAAAGCCACGGCUAACUACGUG
rnacentral:rRNA from 1 species